rnacentral:rRNA from 1 species
UACGUAGGGUGCGAGCGUUGUCCGGAAUUAUUGGGCGUAAAGAGCUCGUAGGCGGUCUGUCGCGUCGAUCGUGAAAACUUGGGGCUUAACCCUGAGCUUGCGGUCGAUACGGGCAUGACUGGAGUUCGGCAGGGGAGACUGGAAUUCCUGGUGUAGCGGUGAAAUGCGCAGAUAUCAGGAGGAACACCGGUGGCGAAGGCGGCAUCCUGGACCAAUUCUGACGCUGAGGAGCGAAAGCCAGGGGAGCAAACGGG